ensembl:lncRNA
AGACAAGCUAUGUACUACAGAGGGCAGAGCCAAAGAAGUGAACAUUAAGUCAUUCACAUGGAUGGAGUUUGGGUUUGCUUUAUUCAGAUUGUGACUGUGCCCUGGUUCUUCUUCUCUUGGAGUGAGAAAGGGCAAGGAUUUGGGGAGCUUCCAAGAUCACCAAAGCAUAGAACAUAACAGAAUAUAUAAUCAACUUGGCCAUGAGAAAGUGUCUUACUAACAGCACAUAAGGAAGUUUCCUUGGAACAUCAUAAAAUGGUCGACUGCAGGCAUAAGGUGGGGCUGUGGCAGCCUGACCCAGGAUGGGG